rnacentral:rRNA from 1 species
UGGGGGAUAUUGCACAAUGGGCGAAAGCCUGAUGCAGCAACGCCGCGUGAGGGAAGACGGUUUUCGGAUUGUAAACCUCUGUCUUCGGUGAAGAAACAAAUGACGGUAGCCGAGGAGGAAGCCACGGCUAACUACGUGCCAGCAGCCGCGGUAAUACGUAGGUGGCAAGCGUUGUCCGGAAUUACUGGGUGUAAAGGGAGCGCAGGCGGGGAGACAAGUCAGCUGUGAAAACUAUGGGCUUAACCCAUAAACUGCAGUUGAAACGGUUUGUCUUGAGUGGAGUAGAGCUAGGCGGAAUUCCGAGUGUAGCGGUGAAAUGCGUAGAUAUUCGGAGGAACACCAGUGGCGAAGGCGGCCUACCGGGCUCUAACUGACGCUGAGGCUCGAAAGUGUGGGGAGCAAACA